GUGGAUUAGAUACCCGGGUAGUCCACGCCGUAAACGAUGGACACUAGGUGUGGGGGGUAUCGACCCCCUCCGUGCCGCAGCUAACGCAAUAAGUGUCCCGCCUGGGGAGUACGGCCGCAAGGCUAAAACUCAAAGGAAUUGACGGGGGCCCGCACAAGCAGCGGAGCGUGCGGUUUAAUUCGUCGCAACGCGAAGAACCUUACCAAGGCUUGACAUGCUAGUGGUACCAAUCCGAAAGGUGCGGGACCCUUCGGGGAGCUAGCACAGGUGCUGCACGGUCGUCGUCAACU
rnacentral:rRNA from 1 species